rnacentral:misc_RNA from 1 species
UCCGGUUUAACACCGGCGGUCUUCCCAGAGUCCCCAACUUAAUGCUGGUAACUGAGAACAGGGGUUGCGCUCGUUGCCGGACUUAACCGAACAUUUCACAACACGAGCUGACGACAGCCAUGCAGCACCUGUCUACGAGUCCCCGAAGGGAAGGAUGCAUCUCUGCACCUGUCUCGCGAUGUCAAGGCCAGGUAAGGUUCUGCGCGUUGCUUCGAAUUAAACCACAUACUCCACCGCUUGUGCGGGCCCCCGUCAAUUCCUUUGAGUUUUAGUCUUGCGACCGUACUUCCCAGGCGGGAUACUUAAUGUGUGAACUUUGGCACUCAGAGGGUUAACUCUCCGAACGCCUAGUAUCCAUCGUUUACGGUGCGGACUAC